UAUCAUGAAACGUCUCAUAAACCUAUUUUAGCUAUUGUUUGUCUUUUUCUUUGGUGCUAACUUCCUUAUUUGAAAGAAAGUGACAAAAUAUAGUAAUAAUAAAAAAAAGUUUGUAGAAGAGGUGUUUUUUUAAUAAGGGGUAUGACUAUAUGACCAUGGGUAAUUAGUUACUUUUUUAUCUUGACUUGUAUACAUCCUUAAGUCUAUAUUUACACCUAUGACCGAUUUCCAUCAAAGAUGUGUUUUUCGUUACAUCGUAUAUAACUGUAAAAAGUAUAUACCAUACCUUUACUUUAUACCAUUGCAUAAAAUAAAUAUAGAAUCUGAAUCACGACGGUGGCAAUCAGGCACACGGCCCGCCUGAUGAUAAGCAGUAUCGUAAUCUAUCAUUGCCACAACAUCAGAAGUAUAACGUGUGCGUUGAACUUUAUAAUUUGUUGGUUUUAGUUAGUUAAAAUGUGACUUUGAAGAAACAUUAUAACGAUUUUUUGUUAUUGUAUAAGACUUCGGGUUAAUAUCUAUUUAAUACAGAUAAAUUUUAUCUGUGAUAUUCUAACAUUUUUCGGAACAAGACUCGCAGUGGCAUCUCGUGGUUUUCGUCAGAACUACAAUCUCAUCAAAGUACACUCCGGUACGAUACGUACAGCGCAAUAGAUUUGAGAUUCGUCACUAGAUGACGCUUUUAGUAACCUACUUGAAAUUACGCGUCAAAUUCAAACGCGUCAAAAUGGCUGACCAGCUGGCAACAAAAUUUAAAGCUAUAAAAUGUAAAUAGCCGACUUAGCGCAUUAAGAACAUAUAUAUUUUUUUAAUAACAAAGCAAUGGCUGCAGGUAAUAUAAUGAAAGCAUUCUUUACUUUGAUCUUCGACAAAGUUCACUGUAGUUCAUUGAGUGGCAGAGACAACGGAUUUGGAAACAAUUAUAUAUGGGCAGGAUCACUGGAGUCAGGUUUACAAAUAGCCACACAUCAUAACAAGCCUGUUAUGGUGAUUAUACACAAAUCCUGGUGUUCAGCCUGCAAGAAUUUGAAGCCUAAAUUUGCUACUUCGUCGGAGAUACAAUCGUUGAGCAAGCAUUUCGUUAUGGUCAACUUGGUUGACGAAGAGGAGCCGAAAAAUAGCAGUUUUGCUCCCGACGGAUCUUAUAUACCCAGGAUACUGUUCGUAUCACCAAAAGGAUCUGUGGACCACGACAUCUACAAUGAGGAGGGUAGCAGUCAAUACAAAUACUUCUACAGCAGGCCGGAACAAAUCGCUAAAUCGAUGAGAAAAGUCCUCGAAAAAUAUAAACAUGAACAAUUCGAUGUAUGAUGAACAUUCCAAAUUUAUAGAAUGAACGUAGACAUGAAGUGAAAUAAUUUUGACUAUUAAAUAGACUCAAUAAAGUGAAUGAAGCACAAAGGUAAUAAGUACUCACAUCUUCGACGACUGGUUCGACGUACAUCUCCAU